rnacentral:rRNA from 1 species
GGAGUCUGGGCCGUGUCUCAGUCCCAAUGUGGCCGUUCAACCUCUCAGUCCGGCUACCGAUCGUCGCCUUGGUGGGCCGUUACCCCGCCAACCAGCUAAUCGGACGCGAGUCCAUCGAUGAGCGGAUUGCUCCUUUGAUAUCAAAGUCAUGCGGCUUCGAUAUAUCAUGCGGUAUUAGCGUCCUUUUCAGAACGUUAUCCCCCUCUCAUCGGCAGGUUACUCACGCGUUACUCACCCGUCCGCCACUAAGUUAAAACCGAUUCCAUCCGAAAACUUCAUCAAUCUUAACUCCGUUCGACUUGCAUGUGUUAGGCACGCCGCCAGCGUUCGUCCUCGAGCCAUGAUCAAACUCU